rnacentral:rRNA from 1 species
UACAGAGGGGGCAAGCGUUAUUCGGAAUUAUUGGGCGUAAAGGGCGCGUAGGCGGUCGUUCAAGUGGUAGGUGAAAUCCCUCGGCUCAACCGAGGAGCUGCCCGCCAAACUGAAUGACUUGAGUCCGGGAGAGGUGAGUGGAAUUCCCAGUGUAGCGGUGAAAUGCGUAGAUAUCUGGAGGAACACCGGUGGCGAAGGCGGCGUUCUGGACUGCAACUGACACUGAUGAACGAAAGCCAGGGGAGCAAACGGG